rnacentral:rRNA from 1 species
GAUGAACGCUGGCGGCGUGCCUAAUACAUGCAAGUCGAGCGAACGGACGAGAAGCUUGCUUCUCUGAUGUCAGCGGCGGACGGGUGAGUAACACGUGGAUAACCUACCUAUAAGACUGGGAUAACUUCGGGAAACCGGAGCUAAUACCGGAUGAUAUUUUGAACCGCAUGGUUCAAAAGUGAAAGACGGUCUUGCUGUCACUUAUAGAUGGAUCCGCGCUGCAUUAGCUAGUUGGUAAGGUAACGGCUUACCAAGGCAACGAUGCAUAGCCGACCUGAGAGGGUGAUCGGCCACACUGGAACUGAGACACGGUCCAGACUCCUACGGGAGGCAGCAGUAGGGAACCUUCCGCAAUGGGCGAAAGCCUGACGGAGCAACGCCGCGUGAGUGAUGAAGGUCUUCGGAUCGUAAAACUCUGUUAUUAGGGAAGAACAUAUGUGUAAGUAACUGUGCACAUCUUGACGGUACCUAAUCAGAAAGCCACGGCUAACUACGUG